rnacentral:rRNA from 1 species
AGCAGCCGCGGUAAUUCCAGCUCCAAUAGCGUAUAUUAAAGUUGUUGCAGUUAAAAAGCUCGUAGUUGAAUUUCGGAAUUAGUACGUUGGUCGUGCCUUAGGUACGUACUGGUGUUACUGGUUUCUACCUUCUGACGAACCAUCAUGUCAUUAAUUUGGUGUGGCGGGGAAUCAGGACUGUUACUUUGAAAAAAUUAGAGUGUUUAAAGCAGGCUCGCGCUUGAAUACAUUAGCAUGGAAUAAUGAAAUAGGACGUUGACCCUAUUUUGUUGGUUUCUAGGAUUGACGUAAUGAUUAAUAGGGAUAGUUGGGGGCAUUAGUAUUCAAUUGUCAGAGGUGAAAUUCUUGGAUUUAUUGAAGACUAACUACUGCGAAAGCAUUUGCCAAGGAUGUUUUCAUUAAUCAAGAACGAAAGUUAGGGGAUCGAAGACGAUCAGAUACCGUCGUAGUCUUAACCAUAAACUAUGCCGACUAGGGAUCGGAUGAUGUUAUUUUUAAUGACUCA